AAUGAACGCUGGCGGCGUGCUUAACACAUGCAAGUCGAACGCGAAAGUUCCUUCGGGGAUGAGUAGAGUGGCAAACGGGUGAGUAACACGUGGGUAACCUGCCCUUCAGUGGGGGAUAACGUUGCGAAAGCGGCGCUAAUACCGCAUGACAAACUGCUAAAACAGUUAGACGGUUUUAAAGCAGCAAUGCGCUGAAGGAGGGGCCCGCGGCCCAUUAGCUAGUUGGUGGGGGUAAUGGCCUACCAAGGCUCCGAUGGGUAGCCGGCCUGAGAGGGUGUACGGCCACACUGGAACUGAGACACGGUCCAGACUCCUACGGGAGGCAGCAGUGGGGAAUAUUGCGCAAUGGGCGAAAGCCUGACGCAGCGACGCCGCGUGGGUGAUGAAG
rnacentral:rRNA from 1 species